GAUUUCAACUGAAAAAGUUAUCAACAACAAAGUUGAAUAACUCAUGAAGAUCUAAAACUUUUAUUUUUGUUAUUUCUUCAUCAGAUGAAAUGUUGGUAAUAUUAUUUAUAAAUUUUACAUAUAUGUGUUAUAGUUUAUAAAACCAGAUAAGAGAUAUGUCAAUUUUGUGAACAAUGUUACUAUCACUUUGUCGGAUGAAGAAAUGACUAAAAUAAAAGUUAUUCAACUUUGUUGUUGUUAACUUUUUUAGUUGAAAUC
rnacentral:pre_miRNA from 1 species